UAGUAAAACUUUCAUUAAUUUCUAUUGUUAAAAAUUAGAAUAACUAACAAAAUAACUAAAUAGUGCCACGUGGCGUGCCACGUGUAUCUUUUGCUAACAUAUAAUGAUUGAUUUUUAACAGUAGAAAUGAAUGAAAUUUUUAACA
rfam:Gossypium hirsutum cultivar TM-1 chromosome 17, whole genome shotgun sequence